GGCCUAGUGGUGUAUUGGCAACACAUCCUCCUUACUUGGACGGGGUAGGGAUUAAUGUUGGAGGAAGAACCCUGUUCGAUUCAGGGCCAGGCCA